rnacentral:rRNA from 1 species
GACAGAGGGUGCUAGCGUUGUUCGGAAUGACUGGGCGUAAAGGGCGCGUAGGCGGUUAUAUUAGUCAAGCGUGAAAGCCCCGGCUUAACCCGGGAAUUGCGCCUGAAACGGUAUGACUAGAGGACGAGAGAGGAAAGCGGAAUUCCUAGUGUAGAGGUGAAAUUCGUAGAUAUUAGGAGGAACAUCAGAGGCGAAGGCGGCUUUCUGGCUCGUUACUGACGCUGAGGCGCGAAAGCGUGGGGAGCAAACAGGGAUUAAGAAAACCCAGUAACGUCC